rnacentral:rRNA from 1 species
UACGGAGGGUGCAAGCGUUGUCCGGAUUUAUUGGGUUUAAAGGGUGCGUAGGCGGCCUAUUAAGUCAGUGGUGAAAUCCUGCAGCUUAACUGUAGAACAGCCAUUGAUACUGAUGGGCUUGAGUUCAGACGAGGUAGGCGGAAUUUAUGGUGUAGCGGUGAAAUGCUUAGAUAUUACAUGGAAUACCAAUUGCGAAGGCAGGUUACUACCAGUGGAUUGACGCUGAUGGACGAAAGCGUGGGGAGCGAACAGG